UACUGUUGUUUCGGGACAUUU
rnacentral:miRNA from 11 species